GAUUAAGCCAAGGAACCGAGAAGGGCUGAGCCUGCAAACUGAAGGCCCCUCAGUUCUACGCCUGAGCAAGUUUUACUGCAGUGCAAGAUAAUUUUGUAAAGCAAUUGCUACAACAUUGUUGGAAUCAGAGAUUAUUUACUUGUGCAUGACUGACAGAAAUCCACUAUGCAAUCAGCAGUCUUUCUUCACCGUCUGCAUGAAAAGGCCAUCUUUGAAUAGAAAAGACAGGCAGUGUGACAUAGAAAGCGCACAGCUUCAGAAGUCAGACAAACCUGGCCAUUUGACUGUGGGAGGUAUGAAGAUGAGCUAAUCCGACUUUAGAUGACUCAUCAAAGCAAGCCAAUGGAAAAAUAUAAAAAAUAAAUUUUAAUCUUCAACUUAAAAUCUGCUUGGUUAACCAUGCAAGUAAAGGAUUUAACACAUUUAUUUGGGAUCACUGGUUUAAAUCUUCAUGACAGUUAACACCAUAUAUUCUUUUGGUAAGACAACAUUACAUUUCGAAGUUCCUUACUGUGAUGUAAAAUUGAAAUAUGUAAAAAUAGGUUUGUAAGAUCAAAAGAGUGAUAGGGACAUCAAAAUACAUUGCAAGAUAAUGGUUCAAUGUCAUUUUGGCAUAUUUUUAUAAAAUAAACUAUUUGAAAAACUGUAAGUUCUCUGUUAUCUAACGUUUUAUCUUUCAAAACUUGCCAUCAUAAUAACAAAGAGCCGUGCUAUUCUCUUAUAAAUAGAACUUUAUUUGUUAGGAGUUAGUUGUUUUUCUCUCCCAAGAGAUAUAUCUAGAACAGGGUUUAGUACACAGCCAGUGCCCAGUAAAUAUUUGCUGGAGGAAUAAUAAAAGAAUACACGAAUCUCAAAUUCUGGGGAGAAGUCUGGAAUGCAAAAUAGGUUUGAGGAUCACAGCUAAAAAGAAGGAUUCAUGACAAAUGGAAGAAGAGUGUGUAGAAUGAGAAGUACUCAAGAAUGCAUAUAGAUACAAGAUACGAACUUGGAAGGAGGAUAUAUUAUGUCAUCUAUAAGUAGAGUUCAAUAAGGCAAUUAGUACAAAAGAAAUAUAUAAAAAUCAAUGACUCUCAGACACAAAAUUAGUUUGAAAAUGUGAAAUAAAAUGUGUCAUUGAUAAUAGCAUACAUAUAUACAUAAGUAGAAAUAAAUUUCACAAAAAUAUUCAGGACUUACUGGAAAAAACUACAAAUCUCCACUAAAAGACAUAAAAGAUUUGAAUAAUGGAGAGCUAACCUCAAAUUAGAUGAUAAACUUUGAAAUCAAGAUUUCAAAGAACUAUUAUACAUUUUAUUAGAAUAGCCAGAAUCCAAAACACUGACACCACCAAUGCUGCCAAGAAUGUGGAGUAACAGGAACUCUCAUUC
rnacentral:lncRNA from 1 species